GCGUAAAUCAUGUCACUUCCUGUUGCCAGCAGGUGGCGCUAUGACUAUAACUGAAUAUGGGCAUAUCAAUCUGUUCAGGUCAGGAGUCUUAUCAAACAUAUGAAGUUUGUGGCAGAUUGGACAUUGUAUGUCUGAGUUAUAGCAACUUCAUUUUUCAUGGCGAAUCAUCGAAAUUCGUCAGGCCGCCACGGACACGCCCUUCAACGAAAACUCAAGAUCUUCGCAAUUUAACAUCGCAAAGGCCUUUAGAUUAGGCAUACCAAAUUUGGUGUUGAUCUGAAAAAAUCUCUAGGAGGAGUUCGUUAAAAUACAAGGCAUGCAAAUGACAAAAAUGAUGCAAAAUUUGCUCAUAAAAUUAAAAAUAACCGACUUCCUGUUGGGUUUCGGAUAUUGCUCCAAGAGUCUUUUUUGUAGGUACUGAUGCUUUACAUAUGUGUGCCAAUUUUCAUGCAUGUACGUGAAACACAGCUGGAGGGCUGUUGAUUUUUUUACGAUAGGUGGCGCUGUCGAGCCAUUUUGCCACACCCUCUUCUGAAAUCUAUAUCAGACGUAAAUUUUCACCAGGUCUGACACGUGUGCAAAGUUUCAGGACUUUUCGAGCAUGUUUAGGCCCUCAAAAAUGCGAUUCAUUUUGGAGAAGAAGAAGAAUAAUAAUAAUAAUAAUAAUAAACAAAGCAGAUACAAUAGGGUCCUCACACCAUCGGUGCUCGGGCCCUAAUAAUAAACAAAGCAGAUACAAUAGGGUCCUCACACCAUCGGUGCUCGGGCCCUAAAUAUAGCUGCAAGCAGCGAUGGCGGGCUCAAGCCAUCAGUGCAAACGCCACCCCUGUGGCAUCGGGAAAACU
ensembl:lncRNA